rnacentral:rRNA from 1 species
UCCUGGCUCAGGAUGAACGCUAGCUACAGGCUUAACACAUGCAAGUCGAGGGGAAGCGAUAUUGGAAGCUUGCUUCCGAUAGGCGUCGACCGGCGCACGGGUGAGUAACGCGUAUCCAACCUGCCCAUCACUUGGGAAUAACCUUGCGAAAGUAAGACUAAUACCCAAUGAUAUUUAUAGAAGGCAUCCGAAAUGAAUUAAAGAUUUAUCGGUGAUGGAUGGGGAUGCGUCUGAUUAGCUUGUUGGCGGGGUAACGGCCCACCAAGGCGACGAUCAGUAGGGGUUCUGAGAGGAAGGUCCCCCACAUUGGAACUGAGACACGGUCCAAACUCCUACGGGAGGCAGCAGUGAGGAAUAUUGGUCAAUGGGCGAGAGCCUGAACCAGCCAAGUAGCGUGCAGGAUGACGGCCCUAUGGGUUGUAAACUGCUUUUAUAAGGGAAUAAAGUGAGUCUCGUGAGACUUUUUGCAUGUACCUUAUGAAUAAGGACCGGCUAAUUCCGUGCCAGCAGCCGCGGUAAUACGGAAGGUCCGGGCGUUAUCCGGAUUUAUUGGGUUUAAAGGGAGCGUAGGCCGGAGAUUAAGCGUGUUGUGAAAUGUAGACGCUCAACGUCUGCACUGCAGCGCGAACUGGUUUCCUUGAGUACGCACAAAGUGGGCGGAAUUCGUGGUGUAGCGGUGAAAUGCUUAGAUAUCACGAAGAACUCCGAUUGCGAAGGCAGCUCACUGGAGCGCAACUGACGCUGAAGCUCGAAAGUGCGGGUAUCGAACAGGAUUAGAUACCCUGGUAGUCCGCACGGUAAACGAUGGAUGCCCGCUGUUGGUCUGAAUAGGUCAGCGGCCAAGCGAAAGCAUUAAGCAUCCCACCUGGGGAGUACGCCGGCAA